UACGGAGGGUGCAAGCGUUGUCCGGAAUCACUGGGCGUAAAGGGCGCGUAGGCGGCGUUUUAAGUCGGGGGUGAAAGCCUGUGGCUCAACCACAGAAUGGCCUUCGAUACUGGGACGCUUGAGUAUGGUAGAGGUUGGUGGAACUGCGAGUGUAGAGGUGAAAUUCGUAGAUAUUCGCAAGAACACCGGUGGCGAAGGCGGCCAACUGGACCAUUACUGACGCUGAGGCGCGAAAGCGUGGGGAGCAAACAGG
rnacentral:rRNA from 1 species